rnacentral:rRNA from 1 species
AUCAUGGCCCUUAUGGGCAGGGCUACACACGUGCUACAAUGGCCGGUACAGAGGGUUGCCAACCCGCAAGGGGGAGCCAAUCCCAUAAAGCCGGUCGUAGUCCGGAUCGGAGUCUGCAACUCGACUCCGUGAAGUCGGAAUCGCUAGUAAUCGCAGAUCAGCAUGCUGCGGUGAAUACGUUCCCGGGCCUUGUACACACCGCCCGUCACACCAUGGGAGUGGGUUGCACCAGAAGUAGGUAGCUUAACCUUCGGGAGGGCGCUUACCACGGUGUGGUUCAUGACUGGGGUGAAGUCGUAACAAGGUAGCCGUAGGGGAACCUGCGGCUGGAUCACCUCCUUAC